rnacentral:rRNA from 1 species
UACGAGUGCUUCGAGCGUUAUCCGGAAUCAUUGGGCGUAAAGGGUGUGUAGGCGGUUAUGUUAGUCUCGCGUUAAAUUCUCCGGCUCAACCGGGGAGCUGCGUGGGAAACGGCAUGACUUGAGGACGGUAGGGGUCUCUGGAACUCUAGGUGUAGCGGUGAAAUGCGUUGAUAUCUAGGGGAACACCGAAAGCGAAGGCAAGAGACUGGACCGCUCCUGACGCUGAAACACGAAAGCGUGGGUCGCGAAUGGG